CCUACGGGUGGCUGCAGUAAGGAAUAUUGGUCAAUGGAGGAAACUCUGAACCAGCCAUCCCGCGUGAAGGAUGAAGGGGCUCUGCCUUGUAAACUUCUUUUGUCUGGGGCGAAAAAGCUCGAUUUAUCGAGAACUGACGGUACCAGAAGAAUAAGCACCGGCUAACUCCGUGCCAGCAGCCGCGGUAAUACGGCGGGUGCAGGCGUUAUCCGGAGUCACUGGGUUGUAGGCGGCUGUAGACGUCAGUGUAGAAAGGCUGGGGCUUAACCAUGGAAUUGCCAUUGAUACUGCAGAGCUUGAAUGAGGUUGAGGUUGGCGGAAUGUGACAUGUAGCGGUGAAAUGCGUAGAUAUGUCAUGGAACACCGAUUGCGAAGGCAGCUGACUGGACCUAUAUUGACGCUGAGGCACGAAAGCGUGGGGAGCGAACAGGAUUAGAUACCCUAGUAGUC
rnacentral:rRNA from 1 species